rnacentral:rRNA from 1 species
GCUAACUUCGUGCCAGCAGCCGCGGUUAUACGGAGGGGGCUAGCGUUGUUCGGAAUUACUGGGCGUAAAGCGCACGUAGGCGGUUUAAUAAGUUAGAGGUGAAAUCCCAGGGCUCAACCCUGGAACUGCCUUCUAAACUGCUAAACUUGAGUUCGAUAGAGGAAAGUGGAAUUCCUAGUGUAGAGGUGAAAUUCGUAGAUAUUCGGAAGAACACCAAUGGCGAAGGCGGCUUACUGGAUCGUUACUGACG